UACGAGCUGUGCGAACGUUAUUCGGAAUCACUGGGCUUAAAGGGUGCGUAGGCGGCGGCACAAGUCAGGUGUGAAAUCCCCCGGCUCAACCGGGGAACAGCGCUUGAAACUAGGUCGCUCGAGUGAGGCAGGGGUAUGUGGAACUUCCGGUGGAGCGGUGAAAUGUGUAGAUAUCGGAAGGAACGCCGGCGGCGAAAGCGGCAUACUGGGCCUUGUCUGACGCUGAGGCACGAAAGCUAGGGGAGUGAACGGG
rnacentral:rRNA from 1 species